GAUGAACGCUGGCGGCGUGCCUAAUACAUGCAAGUCGAGCGAACAGAUGAGGAGCUUGCUCCUCUGACGUUAGCGGCGGACGGGUGAGUAACACGUGGAUAACCUACCUAUAAGACUGGGAUAACUUCGGGAAACCGGAGCUAAUACCGGAUAAUAUAUUGAACCGCAUGGUUCAAUAGUGAAAGACGGUUUUGCUGUCACUUAUAGAUGGAUCCGCGCCGCAUUAGCUAGUUGGUAAGGUAACAGCUUACCAAGGCAACGAUGCGUAGCCGACCUGAGAGGGUGAUCGGCCACACUGGAACUGAGACACGGUCCAGACUCCUACGGGAGGCAGCAGUAGGGAAUCUUCCGCAAUGGGCGAAAGCCUGACGGAGCAACGCCGCGUGAGUGAUGAAGGUCUUCGGAUCGUAAAACUCUGUUAUUAGGGAAGAACAAAUGUGUAAGUAACUAUGCACGUCUUGACGGUACCUAAUCAGAAAGCCACGGCUAACUACGUG
rnacentral:rRNA from 1 species